rnacentral:rRNA from 1 species
GAUGAACGCUGGCGGCGUGCCUAAUACAUGCAAGUCGAGCGAAUGGAUUAAGAGCUUGCUCUUAUGAAGUUAGCGGCGGACGGGUGAGUAACACGUGGGUAACCUGCCCAUAAGACUGGGAUAACUCCGGGAAACCGGGGCUAAUACCGGAUAACAUUUUGAACCGCAUGGUUCGAAAUUGAAAGGCGGCUUCGGCUGUCACUUAUGGAUGGACCCGCGUCGCAUUAGCUAGUUGGUGAGGUAACGGCUCACCAAGGCAAGGAUGCGUAGCCGACCUGAGAGGGUGAUCGGCCACGCUGGGACUGAAACACGGCCCAGACUCCUACGGGAGGCAGCAGUAGGGAAUCUUCCGCAAUGGACGAAAGUCUGACGGAGCAACGCCGCGUGAGUGAUGAAGGCUUUCGGGUCGUAAAACUCUGUUGUUAGGGAAGAACAAGUGCUAGUUGAAUAAGCUGGCACCUUGACGGUACCUAACCAGAAAGCCACGGCUAACUACGUGCCAGCAGCCGCAGUAA